rnacentral:rRNA from 1 species
UACGGAGGGUGCAAGCGUUAUCCGGAUUCACUGGGUUUAAAGGGUGCGUAGAUGGGCAGGUAAGUCCGUGGUGAAAUCCUAUAGCUUAACUAUAGAACUGCCAUGGAUCCUAUUUGUCUUGAAUGUCGUAGAGGUAAGCGGAAUAUGUCAUGUAGCGGUGAAAUGCUUAGAUAUGACAUAGAACACCAAUUGCGAAGGCAGCUUACUAUGCGAUGAUUGACACUGAGGCACGAAAGCGCUGGUAGCAAACAGG